GUGUGUGUGUGUGUGUGUGUAGAGUUCGAGAGUGCUGACAGUGCUCAGGCUGCAGUGGGCGUCGGCCUCUUAACUGGCGGCAGGAAGCUGUGGGCAUGUCCUGCUCUGACCCCGCCCCACAUGAGCUCGUGGACGCCCCCUGAACCGCCCACUACUGAAACCAUCUCGAAUGCACAGCCGGGGGAGGAGUGUGAUGAGCGGCUGCUGGAGCGCAGGAUCCGGAAACUGGACAGAAGAGUGGGGAAAGUGUAUCGCGCGCUGGAGGCAAACUGCCUGAGCAUCGUCAUCCUGCCCGGAAGCAGAGUGGAUGGCGUGGACCACCUCGGCCUCUGCUUCAUACAGUGCAAGCAGACGUGACUCCAGCUCUUGUCAGACACUCAUAGUCUACACACUGGUGUGUGUGUGUGUGUGUGUGUGUGUGUGUGUGUGUGUGUGUGUGGAAUAAAGCUGUAAAUGAAGCUGAAUGAGCUGCUGUGCUGUGUUUGUCCAGCUCAGAAUACCCAGAGCUGCAGAGUUCUGAAUGGGCAUUAAUAAUUAACCCAAACACUAAGAGAGGGUGGGACAUAGUGCAGCCCCUCCCCCUUUUAAAAACAGCCUAUAGGGGAAUUACCAACCUGCAUCCUUCAUGACAUCACAUGGGUUCAAUCGCACAUAGCGGUUGCAAUAGCAAACAUGUCCUGUUGUGUGGUAGGAUGCCAGAAUUGAUAGAACAGGUGAAUUUGAGCGUACAGCACACUGCUUUAAUGCCAACUGCAGACGCCUGCUGUCAGCCUUUGAUCCAUCUUUGAUCCAGUUAGCUGGAAGCAACAAACUACAUGUUUAUAUCAGCUUUACAUCUUCUAAAUGCACAUUCUGUCCCUGUUAUGGUGCGCACUAGCUUAUAGAUAUCCUCAAAACUAGCAACACUGAUACUAACAUCAUCUAAACAGCCUGUUUUAAUUUCAUGAGCCCUUUACAGAAAACACACAUUACAGGCUACAAGCAUUCAGUAAUGACAGCAGUGUCCAUUACAGCACGCAGGACAUGAGCAUCAUUCUCCUUGUCUUAGUCAGUGUACUUUAUUAUUUGUACAGGAACAGAAAAUCAGCUUUCAGUAGAUGAGAACAGUAAAUACUGUAGUGUUUUUGACCCAUACUGCGGUAAUUCUAUACUUGUUAACAGCUGUAAGUAAAACACGUUAACAGAACUGUUGAAUGUAGUGUAUUACAGUAUUAAUCACUGUUUAUUUCCUGUAGUCAUUACAGCAGGAUGCUGGAUCAGUCAGUUGUGAUAUGCAGUACUGUAUAUUGCACUAUAGUGCAUUAAAAAACUUCACCAAAAUCUUGUUUACUGUAA